rnacentral:lncRNA from 12 species
UUCCUACACUGCCGCAGCAGUUCCCGCUCCUGUAGGUGCUCUUCCAUAUUUCCCCCAGUCCUCACUUCCACAGGAGCUUUUCCGUUUUCCCCACUGCCACUGCAGCUCUUGCAGGGGCCUUACCUAAUUCCCACACAGUUCCUGCUCCCAAAGGAGCCUUACCUAAUUCCCAUACUGCCACAGCAGUUCCCGCUCACUCAGGAGCCAUUUCUCCAUUUCCCCACUGCAGCACUUCCUACUCCCGUAGGAGCUUUUCUCCAUUUCCCCACUGUUGCAGCAGUUCCUGCUCCCGCAGGAGCUUUUCCAUAUUUCCCCACUGCCGCAGCAGUGCCCACUCCAGUAGGAGCCUUUGUCUGUAUUUUAAUCUGCUGCAGCAGUGCUUGCUUCUGCAGAAGCUAUUUUCUCUUUUCAGAUGCUGUAGCAGUUCCCACUCCCGCAGGAGCCUUUUCCGUGUUUCCCUACUGCCGCAGCAGUAGCCGCUCCCACAGGAGCCUCUAUCCAUAUUUCCCCACUGCCACAGCAGUGUCAGCUCCCACAGGAGGCUUUCUGUAUUUCCUCACUGCUGCAGCAGUGUCUGCUCCCGCAGGAGCCUUUUUUUCUGUAUUUUCUCACUGCCGCAACAGUAUCUGCUCCCGCAGGAGCCUUUCCUGUCUUUCCCCACUGCAGCUGUUCCCACUCCCGCAGGAGUUCUUCCAUAUUUCCCCACUGCCACAGCAGUGCCCACUCCCACAGGAGCCUUUCCGUAUUUCCCCACUGCCGCAGCAGUGUAUGCUCCCGCAGGAGCCUUUCCGUAUUUCCCCGCUCCCGCAGGAGCCUUUCCGUAUUUCCCCACUGCCGCAGCAGUGUCAGCUCCCGCAGCAGACUUUCUGUAUUUCCUCACUGCUGCAGCAGUGCCCGCUCCCACAGGAGCUCUUCCAUAUUUCCCCACUGCAGCAGCAAUGCCCGCUCCCGCAGGAGCUUUUCCAUAUUUCCGCACUGCCGCAGCAGUUCCCGCUCCAGUAG